GACGAACGCUGGCGGCGUGCUUAACACAUGCAAGUCGAACGGAAAGGCCCCUUUGGGGGUACUCGAGUGGCGAACGGGUGAGUAACACGUGAGUAACCUGCCCUUGACUUCGGGAUAACUUCAGGAAACUGGGGCUAAUACCGGAUAGGAAUCCUUGCUGCAUGGUGGGGGUUGGAAAGCUUCGGCGGUUUUGGAUGGACUCGCGGCUUAUCAGCUUGUUGGUGGGGUAGUGGCUUACCAAGGCUUUGACGGGUAGCCGGCCUGAGAGGGCGACCGGCCACAUUGGGACUGAGAUACGGCCCAGACUCCUACGGGAGGCAGCAGUGGGGAAUAUUGCACAAUGGGCGGAAGCCUGAUGCAGCAACGCCGCGUGCGGGAUGACGGCCUUCGGGUUGCAAACCGCUUUCAGCAGGGGCGAAGCUUGUGGUGACGGUACCUGCAGAAGAAGCACCGGCUAACUACGUG
rnacentral:rRNA from 1 species